ACGCUCGACACCUACGGAGGCAGCAGUGGGGAAUAUUGCACAAUGGGGGAAACCCUGAUGCAGCGACGCCGCGUGAAGGAAGAAGUAUUUCGGUAUGUAAACUUCUAUCAGCAGGGAAGAAAAUGACGGUACCUGACUAAGAAGCCCCGGCUAACUACGUGCUAGCAGCCGCGGUAAUCUGAGCGGGCUGGCAAGGC
rnacentral:rRNA from 1 species